rnacentral:lncRNA from 1 species
GAUGAACAGCUACCAAAGAAGAAGUAGGGUCCCAUCAUUUCCUACCAAGAAUGAGGAUGCAUAUAUGACUGAAAUUAACUCCCUAGGGAGGGAGGAUCAUGAUUCAUGGCCACAUUCUGUGUGAACAUGCACAUACUCCACGACUGUCUUUUAGAACUUUGAGAUAGAUUUUGUUUCCCAUUAUUUAUCCGUUUUCUCUUUCCAAUUUCUUUAUUCUUUGUAAGUGGGGCACUACAGAAUAAAUACAUGGUGAAAACAUCAAUGAU